rnacentral:rRNA from 1 species
UACGUAGGCAGCGAGCGUUGGUCGGAAUUACUGGGCGUAAAGAGUGUGUAGGCGGUGUUCCCAGUCUGUUGUGAAAUCUCCCGGCUUAACUGGGAGGGUGCAGCGGAAACUAGAAUGCUAGAGGGUGGGAGAGGUAAGCGGAAUUCCUGGUGUAGCGGUGAAAUGCGUAGAUAUCAGGAGGAACACCUGUGGUGUAGACAGCUUACUGGACCACUUCUGACGCUGAGACACGAAAGCGUGGGUAGCAAACAGG